AGCAGUAGCCGCGGGAAUACGUAGGUGGCAAGCGUUGUCCGGAAUUAUUGGGCGUAAAGGGCUCGCAGGCGGUUUCUUAAGUCUGAUGUGAAAGCCCCCGGCUCAACCGGGGAGGGUCAUUGGAAACUGGGAAACUUGAGUGCAGAAGAGGAGAGUGGAAUUCCACGUGUAGCGGUGAAAUGCGUAGAGAUGUGGAGGAACACCAGUGGCGAAGGCGGCCAUCUGGGACAACACUGACGCUGAGGCACGAAAGCGUGGGGAGCAAACAGGAUUAGAGACCCGUGUAGUCCCUGUCUCUUAUAC
rnacentral:rRNA from 1 species